CAAGAGGCUCUGUGAGGAGCUUAUGACUUUUGAUCCAUUUCUGCAGUAAUGGUGCGUUAACUUAAAUCUGUCCUUGACAAGUAUGUCAUUCUUCUGUGCUGCAUAGAAUGUACUCUCUUGAGAAAUUUUCUAAUAUGGUCCGAGAAGGGUAAUGCUACAUCAGAAGACCGAAGAACAGUAUAAGAAAUACUGAACACUUAAUACUGCUGAUGAGAAAUGGUGAAGGGGCCCCAACCUACCAACGUGAGACCAAAGGAAAAAAAAAACAAAAAAACAUUGAAGAAACUUGUAUUAAAACCAAUGAAGCGUGUGAGAUGUACACUAAAGUAAAGACUGAUCUUGUAAAAAAGGGGGAUCUCUUGAGCAGCACUAUGUGAGGAUCCAGCUUUCCUAACCCUACUUCUGCAGUAUCUAUCAACUGAUUCUGAAGGCAUUUAAAGGGCCAAAUAUUCUCCACUUUCAUAAUUCUUUCAUACUCCAUAUUCUGAUAUGUCAGCAACCAGGAAGAAUACCGCACCUGAGGACAGUAGUACCAGUGACCCAAGGGAGCUGCGGCAGGUCAAAUGAACAGAAAUGACCCCGCAAGCGCAGUGCCAUCCUCACCUCUACAAAGCUUUCAUGUGAUUGGCAGACAAUAAAAAAAAAAUGUGAAAAAGUGCAGCAAUCUCAAAGAGUUAUUAUGAAAAGCUAGAACAUGACAGCGCUGAGGGAAACAUUACAUUUCUCUUCAUAUAAUCGUGUAUCGUUUACGACACUUACAGGAGAUGUGACAACAAGCACAGAAUACUUUAGAGUUUGCUCGUUCCAACCCGAUAAUUCUCUACAGUAUUAUAUUUAAUGAUUUCGUUUUUUUUAUUUUUUUAUUCUA